rnacentral:rRNA from 1 species
CCUACGGGAGGCAGCAGUGAGGAAUAUUGGUCAAUGGAAGAGAUCCUGAACCAGCCAAGCCGCGUGCGGGAAGACGGCCCUAUGGGUUGUAAACCUCUUUUGUCGGAGGGCAAAACCCGGUACGUGUCCCGGACUGCGUGUAUCCUACGAAAAAGCAUCGGCUAACUCCGUGCCAGCAGCCGCGGUAAUACGGAGGAUGCGAGCGUUAUCCGGAUUUAUUGGGUUUAAGGGGUGCGUAGGCGGUCCGUUAAGUCAGCGGUAAAAUUGCGGGGCUCAACCCGGUCGAGCCGUUGAAACUGGCAGACUUGAGUGGGCGAGCAGUAGGCGGAAUGUGCGGUGUAGCGGUGAAAUGCAUAGAGAUCGCACAGAACUCCGAUUGCGAAGGCAGCGUACCGGGGUAAGACUGACGCUGAGGCACGAAAGCGUGGGGAUCGAACAGGAUUAGAUACCCUGGUAGUC